rnacentral:rRNA from 1 species
GAGCGGAUGACGGGAGCUUGCUCCUUGAUUCAGCGGCGGACGGGUGAGUAAUGCCUAGGAAUCUGCCUGGUAGUGGGGGACAACGUUUCGAAAGGAACGCUAAUACCGCAUACGUCCUACGGGAGAAAGCAGGGGACCUUCGGGCCUUGCGCUAUCAGAUGAGCCUAGGUCGGAUUAGCUAGUUGGUGGGGUAAUGGCUCACCAAGGCGACGAUCCGUAACUGGUCUGAGAGGAUGAUCAGUCACACUGGAACUGAGACACGGUCCAGACUCCUACGGGAGGCAGCAGUGGGGAAUAUUGGACAAUGGGCGAAAGCCUAAUCCAGCCAUGCCGCGUGUGUGAAGAAGGUCUUCGGAUUGUAAAGCACUUUAAGUUGGGAGGAAGGGCAGUAAGUUAAUACCUUGCUGUUUUGACGUUACCGACAGAAUAAGCACCGGCUAACUCUGUG